GACGAACGCUGGCGGCGUGCCUAAUACAUGCCAGUCGAGCGAGCGGAACUAACAGAUUUACUUCGGUAAUGACGUUAGGAAAGCGAGCGGCGGAUGGGUGAGUAACACGUGGGGAACCUGCCCCAUAGUCUGGGAUACCACUUGGAAACAGGUGCUAAUACCGGAUAAGAAAGCAGAUCGCAUGAUCAGCUUUUAAAAGGCGGCGUAAGCUGUCGCUAUGGGAUGGCCCCGCGGUGCAUUAGCUAGUUGGUAAGGUAAAGGCUUACCAAGGCGAUGAUGCAUAGCCGAGUCGAGAGACUGAUCGGCCACAUUGGGACUGAGACACGGCCCAAACUCCUACGGGAGGCAGCAGUAGGGAAUCUUCCACAAUGGACGCAAGUCUGAUGGAGCAACGCCGCGUGAGUGAAGAAGGUUUUCGGAUCGUAAAGCUCUGUUGUUGGUGAAGAAGGAUAGAGGUAGUAACUGGCCUUUAUUUGACGGUAAUCAACCAGAAAGUCACGGCUAACUACGUG
rnacentral:rRNA from 1 species